UACGGAGGAUCCGAGCGUUAUCCGGAUUUAUUGGGUUUAAAGGGUGCGUAGGCGGUCCGUUAAGUCAGCGGUAAAAUUGCGGGGCUCAACCCCGUCGAGCCGUUGAAACUGGCGUUCUUGAGUGAGCGAGAAGUAUGCGGAAUGCGUGGUGUAGCGGUGAAAUGCAUAGAUAUCACGCAGAACUCCGAUUGCGAAGGCAGCAUACCGGCGCUCAACUGACGCUCAUACACGAAAGCGUGGGGAGCAAACAGG
rnacentral:rRNA from 1 species